rnacentral:rRNA from 1 species
UACGUAGGGGGCAAGCGUUGUCCGGAAUUAUUGGGCGUAAAGAGCGCGUAGGCGGUCCGGUAAGUCGGUUGUGAAAGUCGGGGGCUCAACCCUCGGAUGCCGAUCGAUACUGUCGGGCUAGAGUCCGGAAGAGGCGAGUGGAAUUCCUGGUGUAGCGGUGAAAUGCGCAGAUAUCAGGAGGAACACCCGUGGCUAAGGCGGCUCUCUAGUACGGUACUGACGCUGAGACGCGAAAGCGUGGGGAGCGAACAGG